rnacentral:rRNA from 1 species
UACGGAAGGCAGCAGUGGGGAAUAUUGCACAAUGGGCGAAAGCCUGAUGCAGCUAUGCCGCGUGUAUGAAGAAGGCCUUAGGGUUGUAAAGUACUUUCAUCGGGGAGGAAAAACAAAACUAAUAAUUUUAUUUCUUGACGUUACCCGAAAAAGAAGCACCGGCUAACUCCGUGCCAGCAGCCGCGGCAAUACGGAGGGUGCUAGCGUUAAUCAGAAUUACUGGGCGUAAAGAGCACGUAGGUGGUUUUUUUAAGUCAGAUGUGAAAUCCCUGGGCUUAACCUGGAACUGCAUUUUGAAACUGAAAUACUAGAGUAUCGUAGAGGGAGGUAGAAUUCUAGGUGUAGCGGUGAAAUGCGUAGAUAUCUGGAGGAAUACCUGUGGCGAAAGCGGCCUCCUAAACGAAUACUGACACUGAGGUGCGAAAGCGUGGGGAGCAAACAGGGAUUAGAUACC